rnacentral:lncRNA from 1 species
CCAGAAGCUUGAAUCUUUAGGUUUGUCAAACACUAGGUUACUUUUACUUUUACUACUGCAUAUUGAGGGUGUGGCAUAUGAUUAUGAUGGAAUAAUGUUGUGCUGUAAAAAAUGAAGAGCAGGUUAAUUUUUAAUGCCAGAAUCUACAUGAAAUUAUGAAGAAAGAAAUGAGCAGAACCAGAGAACAUUAUAAAUAUCAGCAAAAAUUUUAUUUGAAGAAUAAUGUGGAAGAAGGGGAUGGACUUAUGCUUUGGACCUGAUGUUCAGAGAACCUGGUGACUGCUCUUAAUAGGGAAGGAGGACAAGAAAGAAUACAAAAACCCUGGACAUAAAGGAGAGUUAAAAAGGAGACAAACAAGGAGAAUGUGGCUUCCAGGUUGGUCCAUUGAAAGGAGAGGAGAGAAAGGGAAAGAGGAAGAGGAGAAGGGAGAAGAGAAAAAAUAAGAGGAAGAUAACAAGGAGGAGGAGGAGAAAGAAGAAGUGAAGGAGGAGGACAAGAAAGGAGAAAAGCAGAAAAUAUUGAGAUGACUAAAAAGACCACAGGCAAAUAGUUCUCCUUUUAGGGGUUCUGGUCUGAAGAGUUUCUGCACAUUUUAGAUAAACAUGCCCAAACUUUGCUGAAAUCUUUAGUCAAACCUUAACUCAGCAAUAAAACAUUCUCACACUGAGCCA